rnacentral:lncRNA from 1 species
CUUUCUUUGGAGGCGGACACACAUUCUUCAAACAAUAUCUCUGUUGCUGUAUAUAAUGAUCGUUUGGUUCUGCUCAUUUUACUCUUCAUAAUUUCAUCAUCUGCUUCUGCUGCCUUCAUGGCCCCUGGAACAAAUUGAUCUCAUCUACUCUUUCUGCCAGGGAAGUCUUCAUAUGCCUGGGGCAGACACCAAGAUACAUACAUAGUAGAUGGAAGAGUGGGCAACUGAAGUCCAGAAGAAGUUAAACGACUUAAUGAAGUCAGAGAGCCAGUUUAAGGCAGACAAGGAACUACGAAGUCAGGUCAUCUGUGGGUUUUCCAUGACACGCCAUAUUGAUGUGGGACCCAGAGCUUCACAGCAUUAUCUGUUGGCAGAAGGCCUCAAAUCAACAUCGCUGCCAAUUUCAGGAUAAAUCCAUUCUCCUCCCCACCCCCUUUACCAUUUAAAAACCUUCACCAACACAUUUAGAACCUGACAUGUGCCAAACUGCCCAAUUACUUCUUGCCUAUCAUUAAAACGUAAGCACUAAACACUGGGUUUGAGAAUACAUCAUACCAACUGUCUAAACACAAACUGAAGUGAAUUCAAGACUCCCAAAGAGGAUCAUAGCACAGGAUUGAAAUCAUUCAGUUUGGCCCAGAUUCAAAAUGCCAUUUAAAAUUGAGCUCAAAAAACGGCCUGUUUGUGAAAAGGACUGGAUUGACAAACCUGAAUGCUGAAGUCCUGUAUUUACCCAGAAGCCAGAAGAGCUUCUCUCUGAAGGGAGAGCAGGACAGUUUUCUUUCGAGAAGCCUUUUGGCAAGAGAAAUACUCACUACUGAGUCUAUAACUCAACCAUAUUGGCUUGGGCCCCCAGUUCUAUUUCUGAAGACUCAUUCAAGUCCAGUCCAACUUGGGAAGAAAAGGGGAGAUGGGAGGAUGGCAAUAAGUGAAUAGAAGAAAGUAAAUUAGACUUAGAUUCAGAAGAUCUGAGUUUGGCUCUUGCUCUUGCUGUGCGACAUGGGCAAGUCUCCUAAAAUCCUCAAGUCUCAUUUCUCUCAUCUAGAAAAAGGGAAUGAUAAUACUCACACUAUUUACUUCACAAGAGGAGCUGUGAGAAUCUAGUGAGAUAAUAUACCAAUAUGUAGCAGUCCACCCCUAGCUAUGGGCAAGGGAAACAGUUAGUAUGUACAGAGUGGCUUAGAAGAGAACAUGCUCAGUCUUGAGCAUGGCUGGGAAAGCCUCUGACCCUUCACCCCAGCUUCCCCCAGAUUAGGUGGAAAAACAGGUUUCUUUGUGUCCACCUGGCUAAGAGAAACCACACCUAUACCUUGUCGUUAACCAAUGAUAAUCAUCCCUAUGUAUUGUGUAUAUUUGCAUAUCAAAGAGAUUAAAUACCGGGCCACAGCAAGCUCCACCUUCUCUUCCUCUCU